GCCCAUGUAGGCGAAAAGUGCACAGCAAGUGGAAAAAUGGGAGAAAGAAGCUAUCAGACGUACCUGCCAACCUCUAAUAUUAAAUUUACUUGGUAGAAUCAAAGAUUGUGCUUGAAAUUAGAUGACCAAUAUAAAAAUACUUACAAAAAAGUAACAUCAUUCCAGUGACAGAUUUUGAUUGUUAAUUAAUUCCCUGUUUAUUUUGUGGGUUUUGUGCACAUCCUGCCAGGCUCAUGGAUUUCCAACGUGUUUUGUGCUCGAAAUUAUACCCCUUAGCCGGGAUACCGGGAAGAGAGACAAUUUUGAGGGAUAUUCCUGGUAAGAAGGUAUGAGCUAUCAGUAUCAACAUGAAGGGCCUCCUCCAUCAUAUCACACGCUGCAUGAUCAAGCUCCUCCGCCUCCAGCUCCAAGACCAAGUGCCCCUCCACUUUUUCCAGUGACAGAUUUUGAUGGGGCCAAUCCACAGCCGCCAAGGGAGAAUGCUCCACUGCUAUCAGACACUCCUGAAGUGAAUGCAGAAACGGAAGUGUUCAGUCUUGAGAAGUUUGUGUUUCUAUGGCUAGGAAUUGGUCGUAAAUAUUCGGGGCUGUGCCUUGUGGUGUUUUUGCUCCUAUAUGUCGGGGGAAUUGUCAUAAUUAGUUUUGCAGCACUCUUUCUUUCAUUUCGGCCUUAUCCAAAUCCAGAUCCAGAUCCGUAUUAUUAUUGUAAUCCUCAACAAGGUUAUAUUUUGUGCCUUCUUUCUGGAGUCUUGUUCCUUUUGAUUGGAAGUUACUGGCCAAUUGCUUACUGCUGGAAAAGAAGGCAGAGUCGCAACUUCACAAUGCUCGGCUGCUACUCGUGUGUUUUGUCAGCUUUAAUCGUCUCUUGUGUGGCAGCAUUGGGUGCGACAAUGGGUAGUCAAUGUAUUGACGUUCUUUCAUUUAGUGUUUCUAUCGCUAUGGGAGUUGUUAUUUUCAUAUUUUUGUGCUCUAGUGUUUGUUGUUUGUGUUGUAGCAACAAAAUUGGUAGAAUUUGUUAGGUUAAAGAGACGGAUAUUUUAACUUUGUUCUUGAGGUACAUGUAUUCGCAAAAUUU